UAAACAAUUUCUGUGAUAAAGUCAAACCUGAAGAAGAGGACCAGGUGGGUCAGGGUUCCCACUCCUGUGCUCUGCACAGUUUGGGUGGGAGGUUUCACAAUGAUGAUGAUGAUGACAAUGAUGAUGAUGAUGAUGAAGGUGCCACCUCAGGUUGGCUCAUUCGUUACACUGGACAAAAUUCACACCUUUGUGGCAGGUCAACAUAUGCCUAGAAGAGCUGGAGAACAACUUCAAUGAGGCUGCGCUUGAUACCGUAUUUGCUCACUGUGAGAACAACCCGGGGCCCAGCAGCCUGGGGAGAGCUUUUGUGAAUGGAUACUGAGGUUGUUCCAAAAGAUGCUAAGUCGACUGCAGAAGAUGUGGCAGGCCUUGGUGGCCUGGGUGCAGGAGAAGUGGGCCUCCUUUGUCAGCGUGAUGAAGUCCAUCUGGAUCGACAUUAAGGAUUUCUUCUCCAGUGUGGCACAGUACUUCUCAAGUUAAUUCCUGGUCUAAAGAGUCCCAUGAGGUACUGGAGGAGCUCAAUCACACCUCCCAGCCCUUGGAUUCUGCCCCCGCCUCCCCUACCACCACACACACACACACACACACACACACACACACACACUUCUAAGAAAGAAUCUUCUAGAGUAACAUUUGCUUUCCUGCUCACCCUUGACCCAUCCUCAACAACCUCCCUCACUUCCACCCUGUUCACAGCCUCUCCACCUAGGUUUCCUGGGUUUCCUUCUCUUGCUACAGCAUUUUAAUAAACGUUGGUUCGCCCGGGGAGGGGGCAGGAGUGGGGGGAGGAGGUCAAUGGGGAAA